rnacentral:tRNA from 1 species
GGAAGGGUGGCCGAGCGGUUGAAGGCGCGGCUCUCGAAAAGCCGUUUCCGAGCAAUCGGGACGUGGGUUCGAAUCCCACCCCUUCCG